rnacentral:tmRNA from 1 species
GGGGAUGCACUGGCUUCGACGGGUAGCGAUCGAGGUCGCGUGGCAAGCCGGGGCGCUCUAGCCCCGUUAACAAUGGAGCAAACUUUAGGUGCCAACCGCACCCAAUACGCGGCUCUCCCCCUCGCUGCAUAAGCGAGUGUGAGAACCAGAUCACCUACGGGUGAUCCGUCGGCCUCGUUCUCGCGCUGGUGGGGCGAGAGUCCGGCGAGACAAUGCCAGCGUGCGGUCCACUCCACGCCGAUAGAGCGGAUCAAAGACCAUCGGCUGGCCCUCGCAGUCUCCGUGUCGAUGCGGAGCGCGGCGGCGACAACUAAACAUCGACUAAGCUUGUAGGCAUUCGACGUCAUCUUAUUCGGACGGGGGUUCGAUUCCCCCCAUCUCCACCA